AAUAAGCGGAAGGAAAAGAAACUAACAAGGAUUCCCCCUAGUAACGGCGAGUGAAAGCGGGAACCAGCUCCAAGCCUAAAAUCUGCAAGUAUUUACUGCUUGCCGAAUUGUAGCUUAUGGAAUCAGUUUCGUUGUUGCAGCUUGGUAAAAGUUCUUUUGAAUAAGACAUCAAAGAGGGUGAAAAUCCCGUAUUUGACCAGGUGUUUAUGCAAUGCGAUGUGAACUGUUUUCUUUGAGUCGGGUUGUUUGGGAAUGCAGCCCUAAUUAGGAGGUAAAUUUCUUCUAAAGCUAAAUAUAAGCAAGAGACCGAUAGUAAACAAGUACCGUGAGGGAAAGAUGAAAAGCACUUUGAAAAGAGAGUGAAAAGUACGUGAAAUUGUUGAAAGGGAACCGGUUGGUAGCAAAGCAUCUGCAGCUGAUGCCUUGGUAGUUUACUACCUUGGUUUUGGCGAGUAGGGGGUCAACAUCAGUUGAUACUGCUUGAAAGGAAAAGAAAUAGGAGAGCGGGUGUAAGGUAGAGUAGCUAGUAGCCUUUGGCAUUUAUUGCUAGUUGCUUUUUAUAGACGCCCAUGAUCUUAUCUUGAGCCUUGAAGUGGUGUUGACUGAGGUAAAAUCUGCAGUGCGGUUAAUUUAUUAGCCUAGCUGGUUUGGUGUCGAUAUUAAUUAAAAAGUCUUGUUAAUUUGUUAGACAGCUUGCUGACUAGUAUUUUGAACGGGAUAUAUCGAUGUUAAAUUGGACUAAAAAGCGCUUAGGAUGUUGGCGAAACGGCACCAAUCGACCCGUCUUGAAACACGGACC
rnacentral:rRNA from 1 species